GAUUUGUAUAAAGGAGGAGACAGGAAAGAAGUAGAAGGGAGUAGAAAUUAUCUUUGGCUCACAGUAAAGUUAAAUGAUUGAUGGAGAGUUCAGUGAAGGGGAGUUCUUUUAGACUUUAUUUCUUUUUAACUAAUUUAACUGUCUCCCUCCAAUUUAAUGUAUCCACCCUGCCUCAACACAGCUUUAGAAAAAAUGAGAGGAAAGAGUAAAUCUAUAGCCCUUUCUUUCCACUUGGUUCGCAUAGGUACUGGAUGACAUGACC
rnacentral:lncRNA from 1 species